AGAAGACUGUGACUCACACCUCGAAUAGACCGUCUUUCUUUUUGCAAGGAGGAGGCCCGGAAGGAUGUCUCACUGGGAUCUCGGGGAGCACAUGAGACAGCAGAGGCACCCAGGAAGAGGUGGGAGAGUGGUGAAGUAAGACCAAUGAGAAGUACAUCGUAAUUCACUAUAGCAAAUGUUAACCAUUUCUGGAAAAGGGAAGUCCUGCCAACUAACUACUGGUGCAGCUGUUAAGCUGGGUUGGUGGAGGCCUGUAGCUGCUGCAAGGACAUGAUACGGGACUGGCUGGGUUUGAGCUCAAGCUGACUCAUGAGGAAGCAAGACUAACAUUUUCCUAGAGGGUGAACUCAAAAUUCCACAAGCUCAGCCUCCCACCGUCUGAGCACAGUGCAAACUUUGCUAUCCUCCUGAAAAGUUGGCUACAAGUUGAACAAAACCACAUGUUCUUGAAGUUGUGAAUGAACUGCAAGUUUCAUAAAAUGCAGGUUGGAGUAUAAAUCACCAUUUUCACCUUGAAAAACAAUUUCAUAUCUAGCAAAGUCAAGGUGAGAAUAUUUUUGUGUGCCAUAAUUCUGCACUCUAACUCUGCUCAAAAUGAACAUGUUCAUGGCAGUUUUGGCUAAAGAAAGGGAAAUGACUGAAGAGUCUGGAAAUAGAAAAAUGACUAAAUAAAUUAUGAUACAACCCUGGACUAAAAGUUAUAAAUAAAUGAAGAACAACACCUGGCAACAUGUGCAAAUCUCACCCAAAAAUGUCAAACAACUAAAACAUCAAGUCACAAGAAAAUGCCUAACGUUUGAGGGCAUAUAUCUAAAGUUCAGAAGUACGAUAAAAUAUAUAAAGGAUGUGCACAUUAGUAAAACACAAGGGAAUGAUGAACAGAAACUUCAGGGUCCUGGUUACCGCUGCGGGGACAGGGAGCUGUGGUCCGGUAGAUACAUAAGAAUGACAGACACAUAGAGGAAUCCUUACUAUGUGCAGGGCAUGUGCGGUGCACACCCGCUCACACACAAGAUAUUCUUACAAAGACUCACUUAACUGGGCUCCCUAAUUAUAUACAUGUAACUCCAGUUGUUCAGCCUUCUUGGUGCCACCUUUCCAUCUGUAGGUAUCUGGUGUGUGUGUAGAGGGGGAACAUCCUCAUUGAGCAGAUAUAACAAAUCAUUUUCUGUGGCAGCAGGUCCUAACAGAGUCUUCAGACUUCUAAGAGGCUAUAGUAAACUGCUUAUUUCCAAUUUUGUUUGCUAAAAGAAAUUUACUGUUCUCCAAACAAAAGUCUUGAAUAAGACUGUUCAGUGGAAGAAUAUAGAAAAUGCUGAGACUGAAUUUGUCCAAAGAAUGUUCUUGCAAUGCAAGGAUCAAGGAUAAUUCUGCUUCUGCUACACUAAUAUAUUGGAGUGAGACAUUUUUACUGAAUUCUACUUCUACAAUGAAUUCAUUGUUGAUGUCUCUAUUACAGAUUCUCUAUGGUAAAUGUUACAGUUGUAAGGCAAGUCUCUCUCCACACAAUCAUCUUUCACAUCUUGCUUUCUCCCUCCCAGUGGAGCAGCUACACUGUAAGAGACACUGUCCCAGGGCGUGGGACAUGGUGAGCAGUGUAGACACAGCUACUGCCUGUACCAUGCUUAGCCGUGUGCAAGACAAAAGCAUCAUUAGAAAUGAAGCACCUAUUUAGUGCACUUAUUAUAACAGUAAAUAAAACAAAG
ensembl:lncRNA